CUAACACACGACGUAACAGUUACGUAACGUACUGGUAAUUUUUGGUAAUUCCAUGACUUACCAAUUGACAACGUAACUACGACGUCGCAUUCCCGUAAUUUUAUUACCAUCACAUUACCAACUCGCAACGUCGUCAGUACGUCCUUCCAACGUGACCAGAUAACCAAGAACGUCCCAGACAGGUCCUCUGUUGGUAAUAUAUUGGUAACUUCAUGACUUACUGGCAACGUAACUACAACGUCGUAUGCACGUAAUAUCAUUACAAUAUUUUUUGUACGUUCUUUAUAUGCUCUCUGAGUAUAGAGCUAUUUAAAAAGUGUGAUUAAACUUCAGACACAAGAUUAAACGUUCCUUAAAGAUAAAAUAUGUUUAUUUUCAACAAGUCAGAAUAUGGACAUGCUUUUAAGCUUUUAAUGACGUGACAUAGAGUCGCGCGCUUCCACAACUGACGCACCGCGCGCACAGUAUUGACAAGAAAAGAGUUGUGAAACUUUCUAUCUCGUAUGGAGUUAUAACGUGAAAUAAUGACACAGACUGGCUCAUCAUCUCAUCUGCAGCAGAGACUGUUGUAUCAGAAGGACAGCGCGUUUGUUUGACGCACUUUUCACUUCAACUGUGUCUGACAGGAGAAUUUAGCUUUCUGAGGCGAGUCUUACAAUUUAUAAUAAAUAAGUGGGUUGAUAAAAUGUAUAAAACAAAGUAAAAACAAAAGUCUAACGUCGCUAAAACCUUUUUUUAUUAUUUUAUUGUUUUUAUUGGCCUUCUAGCCGUUGAGUUACCAUGGCAACCGCGUACACAUCAGCUGCUGGAGAGGAGAGGACUCGUCUGACAUUUUUUCUGUUUCUCGUCUGUUAUACCAAAGAAAAGACCAACAACUGCGACAGAUUUGUUAAGUAACACGUUAAUAUUAUCCACAGUCUACUUUAAGUACUUUUUAUUAAUAUUUAUACCUCUGUGAUUAUGGUAUUUUUCUUGAAAUGUCUGCUAUCAAGUAUUACGCUAGCAUAGAAACAUAAUUAACGUUAUAGCAUAAUAGAUUUGAGCUCUUAUUAAUGAAAGUUUGGGCUUUUAAUUACAUCUUAUGCGUAAAGGAUCGGUUUUGAUUGCUUUGUAAAUGUUUUUGAUGGUAAUUUGUCAAUAGAUAAAUGAAGUAAAGUUAAGCUAAUUAAUUUAACCUAAAAGUCUGCACUGUAGAGUCUAUCAGUGACGUCACUUGCGGUCUAAAAUGGGCUGAAACUAUUUCAAACCACUGUUUCAAGCUUGUUCUGAUUUAUCAUUGUAAACAAAUAUUGAUAAAACAUUUUUUACAGUGAUUUCAGGAGUGUCUUAAAAACCCUCUAAAACAGAAGGGAAGUUCCAAGAAAAUGUCUAAUGGGAGCUGCUGACAGAGAUAGAAAACACAGUUUGUUUAUUUCUAAUAAGGAGCUGGAGGCCGUGAAGAAACAGUUCCACGAUAUCGUGGAGAAGCAGGCCCAGAUGAGCAAGUGGAGAGCUGUGCUGGAAAUAUUCAGGGGUUGAUGCUCAUAAGUCCAGGGUAAGUAUACAGCUAACCCUCCUACCACCUCUACUCUGUGUGGUUCUCUGCAAAGGCCCGGUGUACCCAAGACACGAUCUUCCCAGCUGUCCUUCACCGUAUUUAACAGUGUAAGACAUGAACCAGGCCCUGGGCGACGACCUCUCUCCAUCCACCGCCUCCGGUCUUCAGGAUCUCCACCAGAACCCGAUUCGCUCCACUUGGUGAGACAGAACACAACGUUGUGAUCAUCGGAGACUCCAUCAUCCGGCACGUUCGUGCUAUGUUAGCUGAAGGUAAAGUCCACACUCACUGCUUCCCUGGUGCUCAUGUUCUUGAUAUUUCUACACAGAUUCCCGUGAUCCUGAAGGGUGAGGGGAGCAUCGGAGUGGAAAUGCUUCACGCCGGCGUUAACGACACAAUGCUGCGGCAGACGGAGACACUGAAGAGAGACUUCAGGAGCCUGAUCGAGACGGUGCACAGCACAUCACCUGCAUGAUGAUCAUCGUGUCAGGACCACUUCCCAUAUAUAGACGAGGACAUGAAAGGUUCAGCAGACUUUUUGCUUUAAACGAAUGGUUAUUGUCAUGGUGUAAAGAACAGAAACUGCUUUUUGUUAAUAAUUGGGAUCUUUUCUGGGAGCGUCCUAGGCUUUUUAGAUCUCCUGUUGGACAACAUCUCCAGGACACGUCGCUCCAUAUGACUAGGCAGUUUGUGAAGACAGAUAAU